GACGAACGCUGGCGGCGUGCCUAAUACAUGCAAGUAGAACGCUGAAGAGAGGAGCUUGCUCUUCUUGGAUGAGUUGCGAACGGGUGAGUAACGCGUAGGUAACCUGCCUUGUAGCGGGGGAUAACUAUUGGAAACGAUAGCUAAUACCGCAUAACAAUGGAUGACCCAUGUCAUUUAUUUGAAAGGGGCAAAUGCUCCACUACAAGAUGGACCUGCGUUGUAUUAGCUAGUGGGUGAGGUAACGGCUCACCUAGGCGACGAUACAUAGCCGACCUGAGAGGGUGAUCGGCCACACUGGGACUGAGACACGGCCCAGACUCCUACGGGAGGCAGCAGUAGGGAAUCUUCGGCAAUGGGGGCAACCCUGACCGAGCAACGCCGCGUGAGUGAAGAAGGUUUUCGGAUCGUAAAGCUCUGUUGUAAGUCAAGAACGAGUGUGAGAGUGGAAAGUUCACACUGUGACGGUAGCUUACCAGAAAGGGACGGCUAACUACGUG
rnacentral:rRNA from 1 species